UUGGUUUAAAUAAAUAAUUAUCUUUAGUCUUAUACAUUAAAGAUACUUAUUUAGUUAAUUCGCGGGCUUGUUAUUUAGAUAAUAAAUCUUCUAAAUACUUAACUGAAUAAUCCUUUAUUCAGGCAGACGGUGUAGUAUCGACUUUGUCGAGUAAAGUUCUAGAUAUAAAACUGAUUAUGACAAUUUUAUUAUCUAUAUGUCUUGACCAAAUUACGUGCCAGCAGUCGCGGUAAUACGUAGAAGACUAGUGUUAUUCAUCUUUAGUAGGUUUAAAGGGUACCUAGACGGUAAAAUUAAUCUUAAAUACGAUAUGUUUUUACUAGAGUUAUAUGUGAGGAGGUGAGUAUUUAUGGCGUAGAGUUGAAAUUCGUUGAUCCCAUAACGACUGGUAGCGGCGAAAGCAACCUUUUAUGUAAUAACUGACGUUGAGGGACGAAGGCUCGGGUCACGAACAGGAUUAGAUACCCUAGUAGUCCAAGCAGAGAAUUAUGAAUGCCAUAGGUUAGAGAUUUUUUAGUCUAUAAAUGAAAGUGUAAGCAUUCCACCUCAAGAGUAAUGUGGCAACGCAGGAACUGAAAUCAUUAGACCGUUUCUGAAACCAGUAGUGAAGUAUGUUAUUUAAUUCGUAAGCACGCGAAAAACCUUACCACAAUUUGAAUAUUAUCUUUAUAAGAUAUUACAAGCGCUGCACGGCUGUCUUCAGUUAAUGUCGUGAGAUAUUGGUUAAUUCCUUUAAAUUAACGGAAGCCCUUGCUUUAUUUGC
rnacentral:rRNA from 1 species